ACGGUUAUAAAUCAACAUAUUGAUUUAUAAGCAUGGAAAUCCCCUGAGUGAAAUAACGAAUUGCUGUGUGUAGUCUUUGCCCAUCUCCCACGAUGGGCUUUUUUUUAA
rnacentral:other from 1 species